rnacentral:piRNA from 1 species
UUUAAAUGUUUCCCCUUUAUUAAAGUUUCC